AGCCUGAAUCAGUGUGUGUGUUAGUGGAAGCGUCUGGAAAGGCGCGCGAUACAGGGUGACAGCCCCGUACACAAAAAUGCACAUACUGUGAGCUCGAUGAGUAGGGCGGGACACGUGGUAUCCUGUCUGAAUAUGGGGGGACCAUCCUCCAAGGCUAAAUACUCCUGACUGACCGAUAGUGAACCAGUACCGUGAGGGAAAGGCGAAAAGAACCCCGGCGAGGGGAGUGAAAAAGAACCUGAAACCGUGUACGUACAAGCAGUGGGAGCACGCUUAGGCGUGUGACUGCGUACCUUUUGUAUAAUGGGUCAGCGACUUAUAUUCUGUAGCAAGGUUAACCGAAUAGGGGAGCCGAAGGGAAACCGAGUCUUAACUGGGCGUUAAGUUGCAGGGUAUAGACCCGAAACCCGGUGAUCUAGCCAUGGGCAGGUUGAAGGUUGGGUAACACUAACUGGAGGACCGAACCGACUAAUGUUGAAAAAUUAGCGGAUGACUUGUGGCUGGGGGUGAAAGGCCAAUCAAACCGGGAGAUAGCUGGUUCUCCCCGAAAGCUAUUUAGGUAGCGCCUCGUGAAUUCAUCUCCGGGGGUAGAGCACUGUUUCGGCAAGGGGGUCAUCCCGACUUACCAACCCGAUGCAAACUGCGAAUACCGGAGAAUGUUAUCACGGGAGACACACGGCGGGUGCUAACGUCCGUCGUGAAGAGGGAAACAACCCAGACCGCCAGCUAAGGUCCCAAAGUCAUGGUUAAGUGGGAAACGAUGUGGGAAGGCCCAGACAGCCAGGAUGUUGGCUUAGAAGCAGCCAUCAUUUAAAGAAAGCGUAAUAGCUCACUGGUCGAGUCGGCCUGCGCGGAAGAUGUAACGGGGCUAAACCAUGCACCGAAGCUGCGGCAGCGACGCUUAUGCGUUGUUGGGUA
rnacentral:rRNA from 1 species